rfam:Pteropus alecto contig87883, whole genome shotgun sequence.
AUCUACAGCCAUGCCACCCUGAACAUGCCUGAUUCCAUCUGAUCUUGGAAGCUAAGCAGGGUCGGGCCUGGUUAGUACUUGGAUGGGAGACCACCUAGCAAUACCAGGUGCUGUAGGCG